rnacentral:rRNA from 1 species
GACGAACGCUGGCGGCGUGCUUAACACAUGCAAGUCGAACGGGUCUGCCCUGUUUUUUGCGGGGUGGGUCAGUGGCGAACGGGUGAGUAACACGUGAGUAACCUGCCCCUCACUUCUGGAUAACCGCUUGAAAGGGUGGCUAAUACGGGGUGUUCUGGCUGUGCCGCAUGGUGUGGCUGGGAAAGAUUCACUUUUGUGGUGUUUUGGUGGGGGAUGGGCUCGCGGCCUAUCAGCUUGUUGGAGGGGUGAUGGCCUGCCAAGGCUUUGACGGGUAGCCGGCCUGAGAGGGUGGGCGGCCCCACUGGGACUGCGAUACGGCCCAGACUCCUGCGGGAGGCAGCAGGGGGGGGUCUUGCACAAUGGGCGGAAGCCUGAUGCAGCGCCGUCGCGUGAGGGAUGGAGGCCUUCGGGUUGUGAACCUCUUUCGCCGGUGAAGAAGGUCCUGCUCUUUGUGGUGGGGUUGACGGUAGCCGGGUUAUGAAGCGCCGGCUAACUACGUG